GACGAACGCUGGCGGCGUGCUUAACACAUGCCAGUCGAACGGAAAGGCCCUGCUUUUGUGGGGUGCUCGAGUGGCGAACGGGUGAGUAACACGUGAGUAACCUGCCCUUGACUUUGGGAUAACUUCAGGAAACUGGGGCUAAUACCGGAUAGGAGCUCCUGCUGCAUGGUGGGGGUUGGAAAGUUUCGGCGGUUGGGGAUGGACUCGCGGCUUAUCAGCUUGUUGGUGGGGUAGUGGCUUACCAAGGCUUUGACGGGUAGCCGGCCUGAGAGGGUGACCGGCCACAUUGGGACUGAGAUACGGCCCAGACUCCUACGGGAGGCAGCAGUGUGGAAUAUUGCACAAUGGGCGGAAGCCUGAUGCAGCAACGCCGCGUGCGGGAUGACGGCCUUCGGGUUGUAAACCGCUUUCGCCUGUGACGAAGCGUGAGUGACGGUAAUGGGUAAAGAAGCACCGGCUAACUACGUG
rnacentral:rRNA from 1 species